UUAGCAUUUAAUUUGAGGAAA
rnacentral:piRNA from 1 species